rnacentral:rRNA from 1 species
CAAUAGCGUAUAUUAAAGUUGUUGCAGUUAAAAAGCUCGUAGUUGGAUUUCUGGUUGAAGCGACCGGUCGGGCGUUGAUUCGUCUGCACUGGAGUCGGCUUUGGCCAUCCUCUAGGAAAGUGCGUCUGGUAUUAAGUUAUCGGGCGUAUGAUCCUGGUCUUUUACUGUGAAAAAAUUAGAGUGUUUAAAGCAGGCCUUCGCCUUGAAUACAUUAGCAUGGAAUAAUAAGAUAGGACUUUGGUCUAUUUUGUUGGUUUGCAGACCGAAGUAAUGAUUAAUAGGGAUAGUUGGGGGUAUUUAUAUUCCGAUGUCAGAGGUGAAAUUCUUAGAUUUUCGGAAGAUAAACUUAUGCGAAAGCAUUUACCAAGGAUGUUUNCAUUAA